UACAGAGGUCUCAAGCGUUGUUCGGAUUCAUUGGGCGUAAAGGGUGUGUAGGUGGCGCGCUAAGUCGGGUGUGAAAUUUCGGAGCUUAACUCCGAAACUGCAUUCGAUACUGGCGUGCUUGAGGACUGGAGAGGAGAUUGGAAUUUACGGUGUAGCGGUGAAAUGCGUAGAUAUCGUAAGGAAGACCAGUGGCGAAGGCGGGUCUCUGGACAGUUCCUGACGCUGAGGCACGAAGGCCAGGGGAGCAAACGGG
rnacentral:rRNA from 1 species